GCCAACUCUAGAUCAUGCGUCGGGUAAUUCUUCUCAUGAAUUCUCAACUGUCUUGAAGCAUAAGCCACCACUUUACCUUCUUGCAUAAGUACACCUCCUAAACCCAACUUGGAUGCAUCACAAUAUACUACAAAAGGCUCAUCAGACUUAGGCAAAAUCAAAACUGGAGGAGUCGUCAAACGCUUCUUCAAUUCACUGAAACUGUUCUCACAAUGAACAUCCCACACAAAAGCUUUACCUUUACAAGUCAACUGGGUUAGCGGAAGAGC
rnacentral:lncRNA from 1 species